rnacentral:rRNA from 1 species
UUCCAGACUCCUACGGGAGGCAGCAGUGGGGAAUAUUGCGCAAUGGGCGAAAGCCUGACGCAGCGACGCCGCGUGAGGGAUGAAGGUCUUCGGAUCGUAAACCUCUGUCAGGAGGGAAGAAGUGGUUAUAUGCGAAUAGUGUAUGACUUUGACGGUACCUCCAAAGGAAGCACCGGCUAACUCCGUGCCAGCAGCCGCGGUAAUACGGAGGGUGCGAGCGUUAAUCGGAAUCACUGGGCGUAAAGCGCGCGUAGGCGGCUUUUCAAGUCAGGGGUGAAAUCCCACGGCCCAACCGUGGAACUGCCUUUGAAACUGUAGAGCUUGAGUGUCGGAGAGGGUGGCGGAAUUCCAGGUGUAGGAGUGAAAUCCGUAGAUAUUAGGAGGAACACCAGUGGCGAAGGCGGCCUGCUGGGCUUUUACUGACGCUGAGGCUCGAAAGUGUGGGGAGCAAACAGGAUUAGAUACCCCUGUA